rnacentral:rRNA from 1 species
UAUUAUAAAUUAAUUUAAUCUGAAUAAAUCUAUUCACCAUAUUUUCUCUAAAAAUGAAAUCUCCAAAAAAAAUAAUCACAAAAUUUUCCUAAACAUAGAUAAAAACCAGGAUUAGAUACCCUGCUAUUCUACUAUUAAAUAAUAUUUCAAAGAAUUAUAAACAUAAUAAAUUUGACGGUAUUAACUUUUACAAAGGAAUUUGUUUCUAAAUCGACAACCCACGUUUUACCUUACUUAAUAAAUAUUUGUAUACCACCGUAAUAGAAAUUAUUUCAAAUUAAUCUCACAAUAAAUUUUCUUAAAAAAUCAGGUCAAGGUGCAAUUUUAUUAAGAUGAAAUGAAUUACAUUAAUUUAUAUUAAUUUAUAAUAGAUGAAAUUCUAUUAAAAAUAGAAUUUGUUAGUAAACUUUUAUCAUCAUGUUCAAUUGAAAAUCACCAUUAAUAUG